rnacentral:pre_miRNA from 1 species
UCCAGAUGACAUUUAGUGAUGAUGUGUCUGUUUUUUUAUCAAUUAAUGUGUGCCACGUGUGUAAUUCCAUUUUUUAAAAAAUAAAAAAAUGGUAUUUUUCAGAUUUCCAGCACUAAAUUCUAUUGUUGGUCACGUGCCUCCUUCUCUCAAAAUCUGAAAAAUACCAUUUUUUUAUUUUUUUAAAAAAUAAAAUUACACACGUGGCACACAUUAAUUAAUAAAAAACAGACACAUCAGCAUUAAAUGUCAUGGGGA